AGCUGUUUACCAUCUUCCUGAGAGUAGAAUUGAACACACCGAACCAAGAGGCACCAAAUCACCCUCAGGCGUCCCUCACUGAGGCAAAGGGGCCCUGAUAGGUCCGUGGUCCUCGCAGGGGUCCUCUGACCACCGGCACCAGCGUCUCCUGGAACCUGACAGAAGUGCAGAUUCUCGGCCCCACCCCACACCUGCCUACUCAGAACCUCGGGGGAUUGUGUUGGCCCAGUCACGGUAACCACUGGAAGAGGCUGAGGAAACACGUCCAGGUUGGAAGACUAGAGACAAAAAGGAAACAAAUUCAGGCCAAGCCUCUGUGGAAGCUCAGAUGAAAUCUCAGAAACGGAGAAGAAACUGGCGGAAAGGGGUCCGCGGGGGGCUGGGCAGCACAGCCUGUCCACACCUGACCUGCAGGGAUGGAAUCCAGGAGCACAGAAACGUCUGCACGGGAAGUUGACAUCUGAAAAGGCAAAAAAGCACAGCAAAGACACAAAUACAG